rnacentral:rRNA from 1 species
GGCGAAAGCCUGAUCCAGCAAUGCCGCGUGCAGGAUGAAGGCCUUCGGGUUGUAAACUGCUUUUGUACGGAACGAAAAGCUUCGGGUUAAUACCCUGGAGUCAUGACGGUACCGUAAGAAUAAGCACCGGCUAACUAUGUGCCAGCAGCCGCGGUAAUACGUAGGGUGCAAGCGUUAAUCGGAAUUACUGGGCGUAAAGCGUGCGCAGGCGGUUUUGUAAGACAGAGGUGAAAUCCCCGGGCUCAACCUGGGAACUGCCUUUGUGACUGCAAGGCUAGAGUACGGCAGAGGGGGAUGGAAUUCCGCGUGUAGCAGUGAAAUGCGUAGAUAUGCGGAGGAACACCGAUGGCGAAGGCAAUCCCCUGGGCCUGUACUGACGCUCAUGCACGAAAGCGUGGGGAGCAAACAGGAUUAGAUACCCUGGUAGUCCACGCCCUAAACGAUGUCAACUGGUUGUUGGGUCUUAACUGACUCAGUAACGAAGCUAACGCGUGAAGUUGACCGCCUGGGGAGUACGGC